rnacentral:rRNA from 1 species
AGAUUGAACGCUGGCGGCGUGCUUAACACAUGCAAGUCGAUCGGUAACGCGGGGGCAACCCUGGCGACGAGAGGCGGACGGGUGAGUAACGCUUGGGAAUCUGCCCAUCAGCGGGGGACAACCCGGGGAAACCCGGGCUAAUACCGCAUACGCUCCACGGAGGAAAGCAGGGGACCGCAAGGCCUUGCACUGAUGGAUGAGCCCAAGCCGGAUUAGCUAGUUGGCGGGGUAACGGCCCACCAAGGCGACGAUCCGUAGCUGGUCUGAGAGGACGAUCAGCCACACCGGAACUGAGACACGGUCCGGACUCCUACGGGAGGCAGCGAG